ncrna:Heliconius melpomene (postman butterfly) microRNA hme-mir-87 precursor
CACUGAUGGGCCUGAACUGUUGCUCUUACCUGUUCUUUUAUACUAGGUGAGCAAACUUUCAGGUGUGUUAGUGC